rnacentral:rRNA from 1 species
UACGAAGGGGCUAGCGUUGUUCGGAAUUACUGGGCGUAAAGCGCACGUAGGCGGACCAUUAAGUCAGGGGUGAAAUCCCGGGGCUCAACCCCGGAACUGCCUUUGAUACUGGUAGUCUCGAGUCCGGAAGAGGUGAGUGGAAUUCCGAGUGUAGAGGUGAAAUUCGUAGAUAUUCGGAAGAACACCAGUGGCGAAGGGCGGCUCACGUGGACCCGGUAUUGGACGCUGAG